GAUGAAGAACGUAGCGAAAUGCGAUAAGUAAUGUGAAUUGCAGAAUUCAGUGAAUCAUCGAAUCUUUGAACGCACAUUGCGCCCGCCAGUAUUCUGGCGGGCAUGCCUGUCCGAGCGUCAUUUCAACCCUCGGGCCCCCCCUCUGCGGGCGGCCCGGCGUUGGGGCUCAGGCGCCGUCUCUGCUCGGCGCCUGUCCCCUAAAUGCAGUGGCGGCCUCGCCGCUGCCUCCUCCGCGUAGUAGCACAAACCUCGCGGCUGGAAGGCGGCGCGGCCACGCCGUAAAACCCCCAACUUUACCAAGGUUGACCUCGGAUCAGGUAGGAAUACCCGCUGAACUUAAGCAUAUCAAUAAGCGGAGGA
rnacentral:misc_RNA from 1 species